rnacentral:lncRNA from 1 species
UUCCGGAGAAAGAGGAAAAUUGAUGUAACCAACACAUCACGUGGGGCAGCCACGUGAGGCAGAUUGAAAUUUGAAAGGGUUUUAAAAUAAGGGAAAGCGCGGAAAGCCUCGCCACUAUAAGGAUCAAACGUCAUCGCCUGACGAUUGACACCAACAACGAAGUUCAGUCGCUCGCCGGGGUCACCGCCAGUCAAUGAUUGAAUGAUCGGCUAAUGACCCAUGCCUGCCACCUUUCCCGCCGGCGAGCGAUCAUACACCUGCUCCAACUUAUCACCAAUACAAAGUAGUCGUUCUCGCCGCUUGCGGACUUGUGGACUUGCUAGCUCGGUUUGCUCGUCAAGUCAGUGGACUGGGUAACUGAAAAUGCUAGUUUCCUUUUGCUCACGCCAUGUUGGCGAUAUAGUUAACUUCUCUUUUCUCAAGCCAUGUGGGCAGUGUAGAUUCCGGUGUACGAUAAGACAUGUAACAGCAUUUAAAAGACACCCUUAGCUCUCGUACCUCGAGCUCGGUGUCUUGUGGACUAGUGGACUGGGCGAGCCCCUAGAGGGGCAACGCCCAGCAUGUAUCCCGCCCUGAGGCGGGGCCCUGGCCUUCAGAUGGGCCUUGAUCUCGGAGGCCCAAUUGGCCCAAUAGGUAGUACCCAAGCUCUAUAAAUAGGAGGUAGUUAUCAAUUGUAAGG